AUGCAACAUAUUACUCAUGCAAUGCAACCAAAUUUGUGCACUUACGGCGAUCACAACCAGUCCAACAAUGAUCUUUCCGGCGAUCACAACCAAACCACCAUCGUGGUCCUGACCAGAGUAACUCGUGAUCCUUACGACGAUCACCACCACAACCAACACUUGGUCUCAAAAGUGAUCCUUCCGGCGAUCACCACCACGACCAACACUUGGCCUCCAACAUCACCGAGACCUCGUCUUGUGAUCAUAUCAAAACACCGCCGUGACUUCUCACGACUAUCUCAUAGUCCAAGUCACCAUAUUCUUCUUAUCACAUAUUUAUAUACCAACUUAAUUAUUUCAAGUUUAUCCUCCAUUUCGACCAAGACCUAA
rnacentral:rRNA from 1 species